rnacentral:rRNA from 1 species
AUUGAACGCUGGCGGAAUGCUUUACACAUGCAAGUCGAACGGUAGAGGGGGCAACCCCUCGAGAGUGGCGAACGGGUGAGUAAUAUAUCGGAACGUGCCCAGUCGUGGGGGAUAACGUAGCGAAAGUUACGCUAAUACCGCAUACGAUCUACGGAUGAAAGCGGGGGACCGUAAGGCCUCGCGCGAUUAGAGCGGCCGAUAUCCGAUUAGCUUGUUGGUGGGGUAAAAGCCCACCAAGGCGACGAUCAGUAGCUGGUCUGAGAGGACGAUCAGCCACACUGGGACUGAGACACGGCCCAGACUCCUACGGGAGGCAGCAGUGGGGAAUAUUGGUCAAUGGGCGCAAGCCUGAACCAGCCAUGCCGCGUGAAGGAUGAAGGUUCUAUGGAUUGUAAACUUCUUUUAUUUGGGAAUAAACCUCUUUACGUGUAGAGAGCUGAAGGUACCAAAUGAAUAAGCACCGGCUAACUCCGUG